rnacentral:lncRNA from 1 species
CCUCAUUCUCCAGGUGGGCGCUUGAUGUUGACUUGAAACUUGAAAUGGAUUCCCUUGUUUUCCAGGUGGGCGCUUGUUGCUAACUUAAAACUUGAAAUGAAUUCCCUCGUUCUCCAGGUGGGCGCCUGAUGCUAACUUAAAACUUGAAAUGAAUUCCCUCGUUCUCCAGGUGGGUUCUCUAGGUGGGCGCCUGAUGCUAACUUAAAACUUGAAAUAAAUUCCCUCGUUCUCCAGGUGGGCGCCUGCUGACUUAAAACUGAAAUUAAUUCCCUCGUUCUCCAGGUGGGCGACUGAUGAGUUAAAACUUGAAAUUAAUUCCCUCGUUCUCCAGGUGGGCGCCUGCUACUACAAAAAAAAUAGACAAAACAAAAAAAACCUUUCUACCCCAGUUUACACUAGGAAGAUUUGUGAGUUAUUAGCAGAACUAUAAAUUACCUAUGCUAUUGAUAAAAGAUGCAAUGAUGAGAGUAAAAUUAAAGACUCGACUAGGAUGUGCGUCUCC